UGUGGCAUUCUUAGUCAGGUACUAAAUAUAACCAGAUGAACUGUUUUUGCAAACGACUGAGUGCUAAUUACACGAGUUCAAAGAUUAAGCUGAGUCCGAUCUAUUUUUCUGUCAAUUUAGUUUGAAGAAUUUGUUAUUGCCAUCAGAAGGUGUACUACUUGACCAUGCAGGAUACAAGGUGUCAUGAUGAUUUGAUGAGCUUGACCACGUCAUCCCUGCCAAUGCCGAUUAGCUCAGCCUUGGUGGCGGCGGGCU